rnacentral:rRNA from 1 species
UUAGGAAUAUUCGUCAAUGGAGGAAACUCUGAACGAGCAAUGCCGCGUGAGUGAUGAAGGUCUUUGGAUUGUAAAACUCUGUUGUAUGGAAAAAAAUGCUAGGUUAGGAAAUGAACUUAGUUUGAUGGUACCAUACCAGAAAGCCCCGGCUAACUACGUGCCAGCAGCCGCGGUAAUACGUAGGGGGCGAGCGUUAUCCGAAUUUAUUGGGCGUAAAGCGUGUGUAGGCGGUUUGUUAAGUUUAAGAUUAAAGCCCGGGGCUCAACUCCGGUUCGUCUUAAAAACUGGCAGACUUGAGUGUGGUAGAGGUAAAUGGAAUUUCUAGUGUAGCGGUGGAAUGCGUAGAUAUUAGAAGGAACACCAGUGGCGAAGGCGAUUUACUGGGCCAUUACUGACGCUGAGACACGAAAGCGUGGGGAGCAAAUAGG